CACUUUGGGCCAAGGGGGGUGGCUGAGGGUGUGGAGCUGUGGGGUGAAUCUGGAGGGUUGGGUGAGCCUCAGCAAUGCAUACUGGGUGUGGUGCUGAACCCCGGGAGUCCUGAACUAAACAGAAUAUACACUGCCCUUCAAAGCCUGGAGGUCCAGGGGAGGAGAGAUAGCCCAGCCUUGAGAAGGCCCAAGAAAUGGAGGUGAUGAAGUUGAGUUGGAGGCCAAGCUUCCCUCUGACACUCUGCUCAUCUGCCCUCCUGCCGGAUCCCCAAGUCCUUCUCUAAGCAUAUGCGGACAAGAGAGAUCCCCGUCCGAUGACUCCACGUGUGCCAUGGUGGGGACACUGCCAGAUGAGAGGGUCCAGGCAAGCAGAUCUUCUUGUGGAAAACUUGGUGACAGUACCCUUUCUGAGUCAGUUUCCUUAUCUGUACAGUGUAGACGUGGGCCAGAAGCUGUAGAGAGUCUCCGUGUUCUUCAGGCUUAGGCGGGUCAUUGGGUACAGCCAGGUGUAUUUUGGUACCUGGACUAAGGGGACAAGUGGGAUGACUAAGAGAUCUUCCCAGAUGGAAGGCCUGGCAUGGGUGCAUGUGGAAGUAUUCAUGGAGGAGACUUCAGCCGCCCAUCAGUGCUCUGCCCCGCCCCUCAGCGGUUGGUAAGGAACAUGCUCAUUGGCCUCAUUCUGCCUCUGUCUUCAGGGUACAUUUGGGUUUCUGUGUCUGCCAUCUCUUACUCAGAUGUUUUGCACUGCUUUGAUGAACAGAUGGACAAACGGUUCCCUUGGAGACUGAUCUUUCAUCUCUGGCAUGGGACACACGCUUAGUGGCUUAAGGAGCCAGCCUUGGGAAGAAAUAGUGAAACUCAUAGACGCCUGUCUUCACUUUCUGCCUCUUUAAAGAUUUUUGUUUGCUUGCUUGCUUGUUUAAGAGCUGAAGAUGGCUCAUGUGUUAAACGCAUCGCAUCUGAUGCUCUUACAUAAAACCCAGGUUCAGUUCCCAGCACCCAGCAAGUGGCUCACAACCACCUGUGAUCCCAGUUCUGGGGGGAAUCUAGUGCCCCUUCUGGCCUCCUCAGGAACUGCACACAGGAGGUGCAUGUACAGACAUGGUCGGGGAACAUACUCAUACUGAUAAAAUAAAAAUAAUUCUUUUUAAAAA
rnacentral:lncRNA from 1 species